GCUCGGGUGGUGGAAUUGGCAGACACGCCAGACUUAGGAUCUGGUGCUGCAAAGCGUGAGGGUUCGAGUCCCUCCUCGAGCA
rnacentral:tRNA from 1 species